AGAGUUUGAUCCUAGCUCAGAGUGAACGCUGGCGGUGCGCCUAACACAUGCAAGUCGAGCGAUGUACGGUAGCAAUAUCGUACAUAGCAGCGAACGGCUGCGUAACACGUUGGUACCUGCCCCGAACUCAGGGAUAACCCCGCGAAAGCGGGGCUAAUACCGGAUGGUCCCGCAAGGGUAAAGCUUUCGCGGUUCGGGAGGGGCCUGCGGCCUAUCAGAUAGUUGGUAAGGUAACGGCUUACCAAGUCUAUGACGGGUAGCUGGUCUGAGAGGACGACCAGCCAGAAUGGAACUGAGACACGGUCCAUACUCCUACGGGAGGCAGCAGUGAGGAAUCUUCCGCAAUGGGCGAAAGCCUGACGGAGCGACACCGCGUGGUGGAUGAAGCCCUUUCCGGGCGUAAACACCUGUUCUGAGGGACGAAAUUUUGACGGUACCUCAGGAGAAAGCAUCGGCUAACCCUGUGCCAGCAGCCGCGGUAAGACAGGGGAUGCAAGCGUUACUCGGAAUUACUGGGCGUAAAGCGUCUGCAGGCGUCCUGAAAAGUCUGGUGUAAAAUUUCGGAGCUCAACUCCGGAAGCGUGCCGGAAACUCUCAGGAUCGAGUCACUCAGAGGCACCUGGAAUGUCGUGUGUAGGGGUAAAAUCCGUUGAUCCACGAUGGAACGCCAAAAGCGAAGGCAGGGUGCUGGGGGUGUACUGACGCUCAGAGACGAAAGCGUGGGGAGCAAAGGGGAUUAGAUACCCCCGUAGUCCACGCCCUAAACGAUGCGUGCUCGGUGUAGGAGUUUUCAAUUGCUCCUGUGCCCAAGCUAACGCGGUAAGCACGCCGCCUGGGAAGUACGGCCGCAAGGCUAAAACCCAAAGGAAUAGACGGGGACCCACACAAGCGGUGGAACAUGGGGUUUAAUUCGACGGUAAACGGAGAACCUCACCCAGGCUUGACAUCUAAGGAAUCCCGCCGAAAGGUGGGAGUGCCGCAAGGAACCUUAAGACAGGCGAUGCACGGUCGUCGUCAGCUCGUGCCUUGAGGUGUACUGUUAAGUCAGCGAACGAGCGCAACCCUCAUCCUAUGUUGCUUUUUCGUAGGAGACUGCCGCCUCCAAGGCGGAGGAAGGUGGGGAUGACGUCAGAUCAGCGUGUCCUUUAUGCCUGGGGCUACACCCAUGUUACAAUGGCCGAUACAGAGGGAAGCGAACCUGCGAGGGCAAGCAAAUCCCAUAAAGUCGGUCUCAGUUCGGAUUGAAGGCUGCAACUCGCCUUCAUGAAGUUGGAAUCGCUAGUAACCGUAGGUCAGCCACACUACGGUGAAUAUGUUCCUGGGUCUUGUACUCACCGCCCGUCAACUCAUGGGAGGCAGGAGCACCCGAAGCACCCUUACCUUUAUUGGGGGGUACCACGGUGAGACUGCUGACUGGGAGUAGGUCGUAACAAGG
rnacentral:rRNA from 1 species